rnacentral:lncRNA from 1 species
CGUACUUAGUUUUGAGUCCAAGUGUUUUAAUAGGAAAAUAUUUUCUAAAAUUGGUGGCUUGGCCCACCGAAGUCAAAUGCCAGGUGAUGACUUUGAAUUUAUUUUUUUGAACAAAUUUUGUCAUUUUGAAAAUUAAAACCCUUUUCAAGCUUUUACUAAAUCUUUUUAUUUAUUUAAGAGGGCUGAGUAGAGUUUGGUUAUAAAGGGGUGUCACUAACAAACUUACAAUCUAUUUCCUCAAUACUUUCCAAACUACUACUCACAUUGGAUAGAAAUUUAGUUCCUAUAGCUUAUAGCAACUUUAGGAUAUUACUCUUGCAGAAUACCUCUGGUAUAAUCUUUCUUCAUUAUGACUUUGGUCGAUUUUGUCUUCUUCUGGAAAACUCUUCCAUUUCUCUCUUGGCGGACACAGUACAUGGCCCCUACUAGAGUCAUUCUGUAAAUAUCAGCUCUACUAUUUUUCCCCUUGAAAUGAGACACUGCCCAGGCCAACUCAUCCUCCCAAGCUAAAAUUUGUCGUACCAUUCCACUGUAGUAAUCUACUCCAUAUAGCAGCUGAAACAUGACAUUAGAAGAAUAAGUGAGAUAUGCUUUCCUGCUCUGUAUUAUAUGAUGGGCAAGUCUGAUAAUGAAUUAUACCCCAAAGUGCCAAUCUAUCUCUAGUGUAUAAUCUCCCAUUUGGGGGAGCCGAGGUUGUUGUACACUAAUCUUCUCCAAGUAGCUUCAGGUACAUAGCCUUUAUGGAGAGCUCCCCAAAUUCUGUAACUCUUGUUUACAAUAGCCAGCAGCCACCAGAUUAUCCUUUGCUUUAAAAAUCUUCAUUACCAUCCAUGAGGCUUGAUUAUAAUAGGCCUCCCCUUUUCCUAUAGUACUCAUGAAUCUAUUGCACCCAUACUUUGUCUUUCUUCCUACAUAAGUUCCACAAUGAUAUAUUCAAGAAGUUUAGGCCUCCUGCUGAGUAUGAAUUGCAUAAUUUCUCCCAAGCCAUCAAUGCUUUCCUGGAGAUCUCAUUGAAACUCAUCUUUAAAAUAUUGUUUGGUUAUAUAUUGCACUAAAGUUUUAAAGUUUAGUUUCAAAAUUUUUUGAAGAUGAGUUUCAAGUUUACUUUUUCAAGUAAAUAAUAUUUACUCAUGAAACUGGUAAUAUAUUUUCAAGUGAAAUAUACAUAUCCAAAUAUAAUUUAUUUUUAAAUUUUUUUCGACUUAACUUUAAUAAUUAUUAUUAUUAAGUAAAUAAUUUUUAAGUCUCACAUUUUUAAGUUCAAACCCCUGGCUAAAAAAAUUGAGUUUGAAUAUCUUUAAUUACUAGCUAGUGUACUUUUAUUUCCUCGUAAAAUAUCUCAACCAUUUUUUGGGGUUUUAUUUGAAGAGCCGAGUUUGACUUGGUACCGAUAAUAAUAAAGAAGGAAAUUCUUUUGAAA